UCCCUGGCAGUCCAGUGGUUAAGACUCUGUGCUUCCAGCACAGGGAAUGUGGGUUCAAUCCCUGGUCAGGGAA
rnacentral:tRNA from 1 species